rnacentral:rRNA from 1 species
UACAGAGGGGGCAAGCGUUGUUCGGAAUUACUGGGCGUAAAGGGCGCGUAGGCGGCCUUCUAAGUCGAACGUGAAAUCCCCGGGCUCAACUCGGGAACUGCGUCCGAUACUGGAAGGCUUGAAUCCGGGAGAGGGAUGUGGAAUUCCAGGUGUAGCGGUGAAAUGCGUAGAUAUCUGGAGGAACACCGGUGGCGAAGGCGACAUCCUGGACCGGUAUUGACGCUGAGGCGCGAAAGCCAGGGGAGCAAACGGG